AACGAACGCUGGCGGCAUGCCUAACACAUGCAAGUCGAACGAACCCUUCGGGGUGAGUGGCGCACGGGUGCGUAACACGUGGGAACCUGCACUUAGGUUCGGAGUAACAGUUAGAAAUGACUGCUAAUACCGGAUAAUGUCUUCGGACCAAAGAUUUAUCGCCUUUGGAUGGGCCCGCGUAGGAUUAGCUAGUUGGUGAGGUAAAGGCUCACCAAGGCGACGAUCCUUAGCUGGUCUUAGAGGAUGAUCAGCCACACUGGGACUGAGACACGGCCCAGACUCCUACGGGAGGCAGCAGUGGGGAAUAUUGGACAAUGGGCGAAAGCCUGAUCCAGCAAUGCCGCGUGAGUGAUGAAGGCCUUAGGGUUGUAAAGCUCUUUUACCUGGGAUGAUAAUGACAGUACCAGGAGAAUAAGCCCCGGCUAACUCCGUGCCAGCCGCCGCCGUAAGAC
rnacentral:rRNA from 1 species